rnacentral:rRNA from 1 species
UCCAGCCCUGCCGCGUGUGUGAGAAGGUCUUCGGAUUGUAAAGCACUUUUGGUUGGGAGGAAGGGCAGUAAGUUAAUACCUUGCUGUUUUGACGUUACCGACAGAAUAAGCACCGGCUAACUCUGUGCCAGCGCCGCGGUAAUU